GACGGAGGAUGCAAGCGUUAUCCGGAAUGAUUGGGCGUAAAGCGUCUGCAGGUGGCAGUUCAAGUCUGCUGUCAAAGCCCGGGGCUUAACCCCGGGUCGGCAGUGGAUACGGGCAGGCUAGAGGUAGGUAGGGGAGAAUGGAAUUCCCGGUGUAGCGGUGAAAUGCGCAGAUAUCGGGAGGAACACCGGUGGCGAAGGCGGUUCUCUGGGCCUUACCUGACGCUGAGGAGCGAAAGCGUGGGGAGCGAACAGG
rnacentral:rRNA from 1 species